CCUACGGGAGGCAGCAGUGGGGGAUAUUGCACAAUGGGGGAAACCCUGAUGCAGCGACGCUGCGUGGGUGAAGAAGCGCCUCGGCGCGUAAAGCCCUGUCAGCAGGGAAGAAAAUGACGGUACCUGAAGAAGAAGCCCCGGCUAACUACGUGCCAGCAGCCGCGGGAAUACGUAGGGGGCAAGCGUUAUCCGGAUUUACGGGGUGUAAAGGGGGCGCAGACGGCGAUGCAAGCCAGAAGUGAAAGCCCGGGGCCCAACCCCUGGCCUGCUCUUGGAACUGCGUGGCUAGAGUGCAGGAGGGGCAGGCGGAAUUCCUGGUGUAGCGGGGAAAUGCGUAGAUAUCAGGAGGAACACCGGUGGCGAAGGCGGCCUGCUGGACUGCAACUGACGUUGAGGCCCGAAAGCGUGGGGAGCAAACAGGAUUAGAUACCCGAGUAGUC
rnacentral:rRNA from 1 species